rnacentral:lncRNA from 1 species
CUUCUCAGCGGCCCCCCCAAGCCUCACAAGCUUGACGCCGAGAAGACGACUCUGAGGGUCACUUCCUGUUACAGGCAAGGCCUGAAGGGCAGGGCCCGGCCAAGGUCAUGGAGGACUCGCGCCCAGGAGGAGUCUGCUUGUUGUAGAGGACUCUUGGCUCAGGGUGCCCGGGGCUGUCCUGCCUCCCACUGCCACCCCCUGGACGUGGAGCCCGGGCCCCCGGAGUGUGGACUCCAGUCCAAGAAGGGUCCCUGGGAGUUCUUCCCAGACCGCGGGAAGACAGGGUGGCGUUUCUCUUCCUGCCCACCAACCCCAGCCUCGGCCCUCCCCGCUCUGCUGCCAGCCCCUCACCCACUCCUGCCAAAGGCGGGCUCCCUCGGUCCAGCUGCCAGGGGACAGGGCUCCUUCUCCAGGGAGCUCUGGCCAGGCCAGGCCAGGUGGGGUUCGCCAAGGUGGACACUUGAGCAGGGUAGGCGGUCUGGCCACGCUAGCUCACGGGUGGCAAAAUGCCACUGGGCCCACAGCAGCGGGCCUGGCCCCGCCCAGGCCCCCAGUUACUCAUUGACUCUGGAGAGCGAGGCGCUGCUGCCCAGCGUCCGUGACUGCCAGCCCUGGGAGGUGGGCAGAUCAUUCUCCAGGCACUCCCCAGCCCCUGCCACGGCCCAGUGGGUACUCCUUAGCCCUCUGGGCUUGAACACAACUUCUCUGUGGCUCCAGACUCUGUCCCAUGUCUCCCCUGUGCACCGGCACCCACCGCUGCACCUUUGCACACUCUGUUCCUUUGACCUGGAAUGCCCUUCCAGCUUCUUCAUCUGCUCAGCUCAAAUAAUCCCAUCCCAGGAAGCCCCCCGUGGGCGAGCAGUGGUGACCGGGACUGGGUAUGAGGGACUCCAGAUUAUCCCCAGAUGGGACUGCAGGGUUGAGGGGACAGCAGCCCGUGAGCUUCCCAAGGCCUCACCCUGGCCCCUGCACACUCACAGCGCUGGGAUGCUGGGCUGCCUCGUGCCGCCGAGAGGAGUGAGCCAGCUCAGGUGA